GGGCGAUUAGCUCAGUUGGCUAGAGCGCAUCGUUUACACCGAUGAGGCCACAGGUUCGAGUCCUGUAUCGCCCAC
rnacentral:tRNA from 1 species